rnacentral:rRNA from 1 species
UGGGGAAUUUUGGACAAUGGGGGGAACCCUGAUCCAGCAACGCCGCGUGAAUGAAGAAGGCCUUAGGGUUGUAAAGUUCUUUUAUAUGGGAGCAAGUUGUUCUGAUGAAUAGUUGGGAUAAUUGAGAGUACUAUAUGAAUAAGCACCGGCUAACUACGUGCCAGCAGCCGCGGUAAUACGUAGGGUGCGAGCGUUAAUCGGAAUUACUGGGCGUAAAGGGUGCGCAGGCGGAUAAACAAGUUAGAUGUGAAAUACCUGGGCUCAACCUGGGAGGUGCAUUUAAGACUGUGUAUCUAGAGUUAUGUAGAGGCGGGUAGAAUUCCAAGUGUAGCAGUGAAAUGCGUAGAGAUUUGGAGGAAUACCGAUGGCGAAGGCAGCCCGCUGGGCAAUAACUGACGCU